rnacentral:lncRNA from 1 species
GUAAUGUUUAGCUCAUGGUAUCGUUUAGACAAAGUAAACGCUUCUUGUGAUUUUGUCGUUUUAGGUAGACAAUGUUUAACAUUGUUUGUGUUUUCUUUGGUAUUUUAGGUUUUAGUCUUUUGAGUGUUUGUCAACGACAUCAUAUUGACAUUUGUUUCAUUUUCCCGAGAGUUAGACUGAAUACCCUUUAAGUAUGAUAAGCUUUAUGCUUUUAGCUUGAACUCUCUUA